UUCAUUAGCCCCUUUUCCCCUUCCUGAACGGCGACAACAAACCAACUCCACCCACGAACCAUAGACGACGACCCAUUGCCCCGGCGCACUCUACUCCCCGCGGCGCCGCCGCCACAGCCGCCGCCGUCGAAAGAAGGAGAGAGAUGGAACGAGAGAGAUGGGAAAGAGAGGAGGGGUUCGUUCAUCCUCAGGGCGGAGUAGAAACGUUCUGCUCCGUCGUCUGGAAUCUUCCUUUAAGAACGGCAACUAUGGAACCCUCGACCAAAUCAUCAACCGUCUCCGUUCGAACUACCCCGACUACGCCCGAACAAAGCAACAAGUCCUCGCCGGGCAGGACCAACGUGCCCUUGAAGAAUCUAAACACUUCCUAAACAACAACAAUAACAAGCAUAAGAGGAACAAAUCCCACUCUCCUUCUCAAACCCUAGUAUGCGCCGCCGAUGAUGAUGAAGAAGAAGAUGAUGAUGAUUGCCAAUUCCGAAGCCCCACUCCGAAGAAGCUGAAGAAGAUUGAUGAGUGAACAAAGAUUGAUAUAUAGAGAGGCUCAGCAUCAUCGAAGGCGGCAUAUGGAGCAGGAACGUCCGUCGACGGCUACUACGUCGUCUUUAUCAUCGUCCUCUUCUGACGAUGAAACGGAUGGUGCCGUAUCGACGUAGGAGGACGCGACAUAUGGCGAGAGACUGGAGCCGGAGUUCGAUUUGAUGAGGUCAAUGCUGCGCUCGAGUUAUAGCAAAGCAAAGCCUGCGGUGGAAUCGAAGCCGGAGGAGAAGAAUCUUGAGAUGGAGGAGGUUGCUCAGAAGGCCAAGAAGAUCAAUUCGGUUGAAGGAGAGAGAAUUGAAGGAAUUGGGACGGAUUCGAAACCAGAAGUGAAGGGUUCCGGCGUUGGAGGCAAUGGUGUUGGUGGCGGUGGUGAGGUGAAGGGGAAGGACGAGCCAAUGUUUAGGGAUUUGGGUGGAAUGGGAGGGGUGGUGGAGGAGUUGACAAUGAAUGUUGUUGUUCCGUUGUACCAUCCGCGACUACCUCAGUGUCUUGGAGUAAGGCCGCCAGUGGGGAUUUUUUUGCACGGUCCACCUGGGUGUGGAAAGACGAAGCUGGCUCAUGCCAUUGCCAAUGAGACUGGAUUUCCAUUUUAUAAGAUUUCAGCUACUGAAGUGGUCUCUGGUGUUUCAGAGACGCUUUGCUAAAUUUUAAUAUCAUUUUGUGAUAAAAAUUUCAGGUGGAUUUGAAGAGAAUAUUCGAGAGCUUUUCUCAAAAGCUUACAGGACUGCUCCUUCAAUUGUAUUUAUUGAUGAGAUUGAUGCAAUUGCUUCAAAAAGAGAAAAUCUACAGAGGGAGAUGGAACGACGCAUAAUGACAACUAAUGACCUGCAUGGAGGAAUCACACAGACUUGUACAACCAGCUGAUAAAGAUUUGAAUUCAGAAAGCUCUCAUCACGGACCUGGUUAUGUACUUGUGAUUGGAGCUACCAAUAGAAUCGAUGCUGUUGAUUGUGCAUUAAGGAGGCCAGGAAGAUUUGAUCUUGAGAUUCUGUUGGGAUUUGUUCUUAGCUUGUUUCUUCGUUGUAUAGCAACUGGAAAACUGAAGUGAUACCAAACAGCCCCUUUUUGUUGGACAUUCCUCCUGGCAGAGAAAAGCCCUUUUUGAAGUACAUUCAAUGUUGCUAUGGUCACAGUUUUGAAGAAUGUUACCAAUGUGAUAACUGCACUCGGCGAAAUGUAUAUAUUCAAUAAGCACCAUGACAACAAAGUUUGGACUGCUUUGUUCUUAAUGGUUGUAGAAGUCAUUCAAAUUUCAGUUAGACGAAUGACCAAGUGGAGCCAUCUCCCCAGGGACAAAGUCAAUACAUUUCUUAUGCAGCAUCUGGCCAAGACUCGGGACCCUCUUACUUUGCAAAUCAGCCUCCUCCAAUGCGAAGAAGGGAAAUGGAAUAUUCCAUAUAGUAGCUAACCAUUAGCUUGCAACAGUUCAUAGCAAGCCAAAAUGUGAUCAAUUCUAAAACUUCUUAAGCCAUCAACAAGAUAAGCACCGAAUUGACUAGGCUGAACACAUUAUUGAAUGCUUUGGUGAUAGAUGAAUCCCAAUUUCAAGUCCAGCCAGAUACUCAAGUGCAGAUUACAAUCAUGGAACCGUCAUCCUAUAUUGAAGCAAAUGUCAAUGAUUGUAAUGCCGAAGCAAAUCUCAGCUAUGGUAGGGUGACUGGUGCACUAGAUGAAGAAGUUGAGCAGAAUGGUGAGACUUUAACCUUCAAGGAACUAGGGACAAAUUUUAAUGUUGAUGUUUCUGAAGAACCAAAGAUAACAAAGCUGAUGCAUUAUGGCGACUCAAAUUUGGAGAUUCGCUGGUUCAAUUUAUAAAUCUGCACCCACCGGACGAAAUUCCUCCUGAGCCUCCUCCAGACACACUAUGAUGUUUUGCUUUCCUUUGUUUUCAUUUUGUUUCAUUAUGUCUUAUUUUUAGUUUAUUGAUAGGUACAAUUUCCUUGAGUUCAGUUUUCUUUUUCCAUUA